rnacentral:rRNA from 1 species
AUUGAACGCUGGCGGCAGGCCUAACACAUGCAAGUCGAGCGAGUCGCGGGAGGGUGAGCAAUGUCUGUGACUCGGCCUGAUGGAGGGGGAUAACUACUGGACACUGUUGCUACUACCGCCUACAUGCGGAUGGGCCGGGUUGGGAUGAGCGAGUGGGUGGGGUAAAGGCUCACCUAGGUGACGAUCCCUAGCUGGUCGGAGAGGAUGACCAGUCACACUGGAACUGAGACACGGUCCAGACUCCUACGGGAGGCAGCAGUGGGGAAUAUUGCACAAUGGGCGCAAGCCUGAUGCAGCCAUGCCGCGUGUAUGAAGAAGGCCUUCGGGUUGUAAAGUACUUUCAGUGGGGAGGCGUUACCCGCAGAAGAAGCACCGGCUAACUUCGUGCCAGCCGCCGCGGUAAUAC